AGAGAUGUGGAGGAACACCAGUGGCGAAGGCGACUCUCUGGUCUGUAACUGACGCUGAGGAGCGAAAGCGUGGGGAGCGAACAGGAUUAGAUACCCUGGUAGUCCACGCCGUAAACGAUGAGUGCUAAGUGUUAGGGGGUUUCCGCCCCUUAGUGCUGCAGCUAACGCAUUAAGCACUCCGCCUGGGGAGUACGGUCGCAAGACUGAAACUCAAAGGAAUUGACGGGGGCCCGCACAAGCGGUGGAGCAUGUGGUUUAAUUCGAAGCAACGCGAAGAACCUUACCAGGUCUUGACAUCCUCUGACAAUCCUAGAGAUAGGACGUCCCCUUCGGGGGCAGAGUGACAGGUGGUGCAUGGUUGUCGUCAGCUCGUGUCGUGAGAUGUUGGGUUAAGUCCCGCAACGAGCGCAACCCUUGAUCUUAGUUGCCAGCAUUCAGUUGGGCACUCUAAGGUGACUGCCGGUGACAAACCGGAGGAAGGUGGGGAUGACGUCAAAUCAUCAUGCCCCUUAUGACCUGGGCUACACACGUGCUACAAUGGACAGAACAAAGGGCAGCGA
rnacentral:rRNA from 1 species